rnacentral:misc_RNA from 1 species
UAUUAUUUUUUGUCUCGUACAUUUUUGACCCACUAUGCACCACUGUCUGGGGCCAUGUACGAACACAGUUUAUCGUACAUUUUUAUAGCUGUCAGUGCGUUGGCUGUCAAGUGUCAAAAACAUUUGCAACGCGCUCAGCGCCGUGCGGGCAAAAUGCAAAAUGCAAAUGCACUUACGAACGUCUCUCGCCAAAUGCCUGACAAUGACAAGCCAACAGAAGAAACAUACAUAUUGUACAUAUAUAAAUAUAUAUACAACUUGCACGAUGGAUUCGCAUUGUUUGCCACACAGAAAGAGAGAGAGAGAGACAGAGAGAGAUGGAGAGAGAUAUGUAUUACACAAGUCAGAGUGGGGAUUUGUACAAUAGUUUCGAACAGGGGCGACUAUCUGACUGACUGACUGACUGACAUGACUGAACGUGUGUAAUGAUUAUGGGUAUGAUGUUGAUGAUGCUCUGACAUUGCCCUGACGCCUUGAUUAAACUGUCAUUUAACUUCAUUUAUUUUGACAUAAAACUGACAAGAGAGAGACCCUCAUCCCAAGCCAAGUGGCAGAAUAUAUUCAAUUUCAGCGAAUAAAAUGUGCACGAGAGAGAAAUGGCUUAUUUUAAAGCCCGAUGAGGUCACCUAUCUAACUAUCUAACAAUCUAUCGGAUUGAAAGUUCAAUUAAUAGAUCAAGGCACGAAUUAUAUUGCUUAUUCUAUGGUUUAUCUGAUUAAGUAACAAAUCAAUUGCACAAGUCAUUCGAUUCGAUUCGAUUCGAUUCGUUGAGGAGGCAACAACACUCAUUUAAUGCUAAAUAACAAGUGAUUAAAAUUCGCUUUGCGCCGCCGAUAUAAAGCUGUCACUAGACAUAAAUUACAAUAUGUCAGGUCUCAAGAACCUUUGACUUUUAUUAAUGUAAACAUGGAAAGCAACACGCAUGCUGAACAGACACAGGCACAGCUACAGCUACAGCUACAGCUACAACAUGCUGACACUGAAAGCCGAGAUAAGUUACCCACAAGACUCGGGGCCGGGCCCCAAGACUCGAGGCCAAAAGACGGAGGGAGAGACCCAAAGACUGGCUCCACAGAGCCAGGCAGGCAGCACGCUGACAGGCAAAAGUCUGGACCGAAAGAAGAUGCAAUACUUGAGGUAAACCGACUGAAUGUCCGACUAAUAUUAUGACUCUGAUUGAAAUACCGCUUUCGUCUGGCACACGGGCAACAGCUUCAUUUCGACAGCGGCAACAAAGUUUAUUGGCAACAGACACACACACACACACACACA